rfam:Bacillus sp. HMSC76G11 genomic scaffold Scaffold1380, whole genome shotgun sequence.
UGAACCUUUAAAACAGUCCCGUGAGGCUGAGAAGGAAACGGAUCUUAUACGCUAAUACUGCGUAUUUUAAGCUAUGCAUCCAAAUCCCUCUUGCCAAAAACGGCGAGAGGGAUUUUUCUU